GGGGGGUUGCAGGGAAGCGCCCCAGGCGCCCCAGAACCCUUUGUGAACUUAUACCUUACUGUUGCCUCGGCGCAUGCCGGCCCCCCUGGGGGCCCCUCCUUCUGGAGGAGCAGGCACGCCGGCGGCCAACCUAACUCUUGUUUUUACACUGAAACUCUGAGCACAAAACAUAAAUGAAUCAAAACUUUCAACAACGGAUCUCUUGGUUCUGGCAUCGAUGAAGAACGCAGCGAAAUGCGAUAAGUAAUGUGAAUUGCAGAAUUCAGUGAAUCAUCGAAUCUUUGAACGCACAUUGCGCCCUCUGGUAUUCCGGAGGGCAUGCCUGUUCGAGCGUCAUUUCAACCCUCAAGCCUGGCUUGGUGAUGGGGCACUGCCUGUAAAAGGGCAGGCCCUGAAAUUCAGUGGCGAGCUCGCCAGGACCCCGAGCGCAGUAGUUAAACCCUCGCUUUGGAAGGCCCUGGCGGUGCCCUGCCGUUAAACCCCCAACUUCUGAAAAUUUGACCUCGGAUCAGGUAGGAAUACCCGCUGAACUUAAGCAUAUCAAUAAGCGGAGGAA
rnacentral:rRNA from 1 species